UACGGAGGGUGCAAGCGUUAUCCGGAAUCACUGGGUUUAAAGGGUGCGUAGGCGGCCUGAUAAGUCAGGGGUGAAAGCUCACGGCUCAACCGUGGAAUUGCCUUUGAUACUCUCAGGCUUGAAUGGGCACGAGGCAGGCGGAAUGUGGCAUGUAGCGGUGAAAUGCUUAGAUAUGCCAUAGAACACCGAUUGCGAAGGCAGCCUGCCAGAGCCGCAUUGACGCUGAGGCACGAAAGCGUGGGGAGCGAACAGG
rnacentral:misc_RNA from 1 species